CCUACGGGAGGCAGCAGUAGGGAAUCUUCCACAAUGGGCGAAAGCCUGAUGGAGCAACGCCGCGUGGGUGAAGAAGGCCUUCGGAUCGUAAAACCCUGUCGUUAGAGAAGAAAGUGCGUGAGAGUAACUGUUCACGUUUCGACGGUAUCUAAUCAGAAAGCCACGGCUAACUACGUGCCAGCAGCCGCGGUAAUACGUAGGUGGCAAGCGUUAUCCGGAUUUAUGGGGCGUAAAGGGAACGCAGGCGGUCUUUUAAGUCUGAUGUGAAAGCCUUCGGCUUAACCGGAGUAGUGCGUUGGAAACUGGGGGACUUGAGUGCAGAAGGGGAGAGUGGAACUCCAGGUGUAGCGGUGAAAUGCGUAGAUAUAUGGAGGAACACCGGUGGCGAAGGCAGCUCUCUGGUCUGUAACUGACGCUGAGGUGCGAAAGCGUGGGUAGCAAACAGGAUUAGAUACCCGAGUAGUC
rnacentral:rRNA from 1 species